AACCUCGUACCCAGGGCCUUUGCGUGGUUCAGAGGCUCUGGUACUGCUUCCCGUACCAGAGCCUCUGAACCGCGCAAAGGCCCUGGGUACGAGGUUGGAGCUCA